CAGCUGGGAGGACCUCCCCACCAUGGGGGACCCAGAGGAGGAUCUCAGGGCUUCCACCUGUUCCAGGAAUGCUACCCCGGACAUCCCACACAGAGGGUAGCCCAUUCCCCUUGCACCAGCAGGUUUAUUUACAACUCUUUGGAUCUUAAAGAUGCCCGGUACAGAACCCUGCGGGCUGCAGCUCCCAUCCGUCCUCCUACUGACAGAGACUUCAAACGCAAGGCUGUCAUUUCGGUAACUCGCCUUCCCGUUUGCUCAUUCAUUACCAAGGCAGACGUGUGUUUUCACACUUGAGAGUCCACUGUCACCUCUCCUAACACCAAGAGG